rnacentral:tRNA from 1 species
CGCCGCGCCUCGCGCACCGGGCCGCCGCGGCCCGCCGCGCCGCGCGGCGCGAUGGAAGCGGUUCCGCGGCGCCGUCCGACUUCGCGCCGCGGCGU